GAUGAACGCUGGCGGCGUGCCUAACACAUGCAAGUCGAGCGACCGCACGAGAAGCUUGUUCUUUUGCUGUUAGCGGCGGACGGGUGGGUAACACUUGGAUAACCUACUUUUAAUACUUGGAUAACUUCGGGAAACCGCAGCUAUUACCGGAUAAUAUUUUGAACCGCAUGGUUCAAAAGUUAAAGACGGUCUUCCUGUCACUUUUAGAUGGUUCCGCGCUGCAUUAGCUAGUUGGUAAGGUAACGGCUUACCAAGGCAACGAUGCGUAGCCGACCUGAGAGGGUGAUCGGCCACACUGGAACUGAGACACGGUCCAGACUCCUACGGGAGGCAGCAGUAGGGAAUCUUCCGCAAUGGGCGAAAGCCUGACGGAGCAACGCCGCGUGAGUGAUGAAGGUCUUCGGAUCGUAAAACUCUGUUAUUAGGGAAGAACAGAUGUGUAAGUAACUGUGCACGUCUUGACGGUACCUAAUCAGAAAGCCACGGCUAACUACGUG
rnacentral:rRNA from 1 species